UCGAUUGUAUCGAACAAACAUUGAUUCUAGUUCCAGCCCUAUUUUUUGUGCAAUUAUUUAUUAAAAAUAAGCAACGACGUGAGCCCACGACACGACCCACGAACGAAGGCAACGAAAUGGCAACGCGCGGCGGACCUAUGGUCGCGGGCACCGAUGGCAACGACUUCGAGUUCAGGCAGCGCGUAGCUGGCACAUAUCAAAUUAGCCUGCUGAACAAGUCCAGGUUGAAGUACUGCAUCUUCUUUCACGCCCUGCUCUUCUUCGUGAUGCUGGCCAAGCUCACGUCGGACAUCCUGGACCGCCUGGAUAUCUUCGUGCUGGAGAUCGAGGAGCUGGAAGUCCCACCGCCCCUGUGGUGGGAGUACGUGUGGGCCGCGUCGUUGCUCACCUCCUUCCUGGGCCUUUCGGCCGCCAGGGGCAACAAGGUGCGCGAAAUGCAAAAGUAUAUGGUGGCCAUCCUGCUAUUCUCCAUCCUACCGCUCUUUUACUGCUUCGCCUACUACUUCUCGGACGUGUGGGAGUUCGCCACGCUGGACAAGUCGGUGGAGCUGGACGAGACAGACAUCUUUGUGUGGCGCGGCUACCCUUACGGCGUCUUCUGGUACGCCUUCUGCUUCGUGGGCUUUCAGGUGCACGGAUUUACGCUGUACUUCGCCUACAACCUAGUCAAGGCCUGGAAGGCCAGAACUGCCACGCGCAAGUUCCAGUAAUCUAAAUACUCGCCAAACUAGUAAACGCCGGAAAGCAGGGCUAGUUGUAAAUAAUUUGGAAACAUGAAACUAACUCAAAACACUAGUGCACAAAAGCGUUAUGAAACUAUGGUAAAUCUAAAGUUAUGCAGCUGUUAAGGUAUCGCACACUUAGUCAUACAGGAAGGGAAACAUAUGGUCGAAACUUAACCAAGCGUCGACAUAUAUACACACACGCAGCCUUGUGAGGUCAACUAAAGACAAGAAGCAACUGAAGCCACCAAAUUUCCCCGAGUCGGAAUAAAAACUGAAAAGCAACCUAGAGAUCACUUCAUUUUUGCUCACUUACAUUUCG
rnacentral:misc_RNA from 1 species